rnacentral:lncRNA from 1 species
CUCCCCUUCCUGGAAUAAUAAAAGCACGUGUUAAGCAUGAGCAUUGAGUCGUGCUCAAUCAUCUGAGCCAUGGGCAAUAACGUCAGCUGAUUCUGUAUAUUGUGUAAAGUAGUUUGCUGGAGAUUGGCUCCUCCCGAUAUUAUCCCCAUUCACAGUUUGCCCAUGUUAGGAGGAGUUGAGAUAACAAGCAGAUUGGUCCAUUUGCUUUGAGACUUCCAUGGAACGCUUGGUUUGGUCAAGUUAUCAGCUUUAGAAUUCGCUUUUGUAAUUUUUUAAUCAUUUUUCCUGUUAUUUUCUUCCCAUUGUGGGAAAAAUUAAGUUUAGUUUGUUAGGCUACGUAGGAG